rnacentral:rRNA from 1 species
UACGUAGGUGGCAAGCGUUGUCCGGAUUUACUGGGCGUAAAGGGCUUGUAGGCGGUUUGUUAAGUCUGGUGUGAAAUCUCCCGGCUCAACCGGGAGGGGUCAUCGGAUACUGGCAGACUAGAGACGGGUAGAGGAAAGCAGAAUUCCCGGUGUAGCGGUGAAAUGCGUAGAUAUCGGGAGGAAUACCAGUGGCGAAGGCGGCUUUCUGGGCCUGUUCUGACGCUGAGGAGCGAAAAGCGUGGGGAGCAAACC